UACGAGGGGGGCAAGCGUUGUUCGGAAUUAUUGGGCGUAAAGGGCGCGUAGGCGGUGCGGUAAGUCACCUGUGAAAACUCUGGGCUCAACUCAGAGCCUGCAGGCGAAACUGCCGUGCUUGAGUGUGGGAGAGGUGCGUGGAAUUCCCGGUGUAGCGGUGAAAUGCGUAGAUAUCAGGAGGAACACCGAUGGCGAAGGCAGGUCACUGGGCCGCAACUGACGCUGAGGAGCGAAAGCAUGGGGAGCGAACAGG
rnacentral:rRNA from 1 species